rnacentral:rRNA from 1 species
AACGAACGCUGGCGGCAUGCCUAACACAUGCAAGUCGAACGAGACCUUCGUGUCUAGUGGCGCACGGGUGCGUAACGCGUGGGAACCUGCCCUUAGGUUCGGAAUAACUCCCUGAAAGGGGUGCUAAUACCGGAUAAUGUCUGCGGACCAAAGAUUUAUCGCCUUUGGAUGGGCCCGCGUUGGAUUAGCUAGUUGGUAGGGUAAAAGCCUACCAAGGCGACGAUCCAUAGCUGGUCUGAGAGGAUGAUCAGCCACACUGGGACUGAGACACGGCCCAGAAUCCUACGGGAGGCAGCAGUGGGGAAUAUUGGAAAAUGGGCGAAAGCAUGAUCCAGCAAUGCCGCGUGAGUGAUGAAGGCCUUAGGGUUGUAAAGCUCUUUUACCCGGGAUGAUAAUGACAGUACCGGGAGAAUAAGCUCCGGCUAACUCCGUG